CAGCAGCCGCGGUAAUACGUAGGGUGCAAGCGUUAAUCGGAAUUACUGGGCGUAGAGCGUGCGCAGGCGGUUAUAUAAGUCAGAUGUGAAAUCCCCGGGCUCAACCUGGGAACUGCAUUUGAGACUGUAUGGCUAGAGUGUGUCAGAGGGGGGUAGAAUUCCACGUGUAGCAGUGAAAUGCGUAGAUAUGUGGAGGAAUACCGAUGGCGAAGGCAGCCCCCUGGGAUAACACUGACGCUCAUGCACGAAAGCGUGGGGAGCAAACAGGAUUAGAUACCCCAGUAGUCCCUGUCUCUUAUAC
rnacentral:rRNA from 1 species